AACGAACGCUGGCGGCGUGCCUCAUACAUGCAAGUCGUGCGAGAAAGCCCGCUUCGGUGGGUUAGUAAAGCGGCGAACGGGUGCGUAACACGUGAGCAAUCUGCCCUAGAGCGGGGGAUAAUCUCCCGAAAGGGGGUCUAAUACCGCGUAACAUUCUCUGGAGGCAUUUCCGGGGGAAUCAAAGAUGGCCUCUACUUGUAAGCUAUCGCUUUAGGAUGAGCUCGCGCUCCAUUAGCCUGUUGGUAGGGUAACGGCCUACCAAAGCUACGAUGGAUAGCCGGCCUGAGAGGGUGACCGGCCACACUGGGACUGAGAUACGGCCCAGACUCCUACGGGAGGCUG
rnacentral:rRNA from 1 species